GCACAUCUAGCUCAGUCGGUAGAGCGCAAUGCUUUUAACUUUAAGGUUGUGGGUUUGAGCUCCACUGUGGGCA
rnacentral:tRNA from 1 species